UGCAGUCGAGCGGUAACACAGGGAGCUUGCUCCUGGGUGACGAGCGGCGGACGGGUGAGUAAUGUCUGGGAAACUGCCCGAUGGAGGGGGAUAACUACUGGAAACGGUAGCUAAUGCCGCAUAACGUCGCAAGACCAAAGAGGGGGACCUUCGGGCCUCUUGCCAUCGGAUGUGCCCAGAUGGGAUUAGCUAGUAGGUGGGGUAACGGCUCACCUAGGCGACGAUCCCUAGCUGGUCUGAGAGGAUGACCAGCCACACUGGAACUGAGACACGGUCCAGACUCCUACGGGAGGCAGCAGUGGGGAAUAUUGCACAAUGGGCGCAAGCCUGAUGCAGCCAUGCCGCGUGUAUGAAGAAGGCCUUCGGGUUGUAAAGUACUUUCAGCGAGGAGGAAGGCAUUAAGGUUAAUAACCUUAGUGAUUGACGUUACUCGCAGAAGAAGCACCGGCUAACUCCGUGCCAGCAGCCGCGGUAAUACGGAGGGUGCAAGCGUUAAUCGGAAUUACUGGGCGUAAAGCGCACGCAGGCGGUCUGUCAAGUCGGAUGUGAAAUCCCCGGGCUCAACCUGGGAACUGCAUUCGAAACUGGCAGGCUAGAGUCUUGUAGAGGGGGGCAGAAUUCCAGGUGUAGCGGUGAAAUGCGUAGAGAUCUGGAGGANUACCGGUGGCGAAGGCGGCCCCCUGGACAAAGACUGACGCUCAGGUGCGAAAGCGUGGGGAGCAAACAGGANUAGAUACCCUGGUAGUCCACGCCGUAAACGAUGUCNAUUUGGAGGUUGUUCCCUUGAGGAGUGGNUUCCGGAGCUAACGCGUUAAAUCGACCGCNNGGGGAGUA
rnacentral:rRNA from 1 species